ACUCAUACCUGGCAGGGGAGAUACCAUGAUCAUGAAGGUGGUUCACCCAGGCGGAGCUCAACCAUUGCCAUGGUUGUGCUGACCCGUGCGAAUUCCCCAAAUGUGGGAAUCUAGACUGCAUAAUUUGUAGUGGGGACUAAGUCCGCGCUCUCCCCU